UUUUUUCCUUCGGAUAUGUCUUGAACAUUAAUGGUUCUUUUAGGCGUAGGUUCUUCAGAAGGAGCUGGAGUUAGUAUUUCGAAUGAUUGAUUUUCUUCAGCCAAAGUUUGACUUUCGGUCUCCGUUUCACCGGCAACCGGAGUUACGACGACGGAGACGGUUUCUUCCACCACUUUUCGGGCGGUGACCACCGUAGCACGGACCCUUCCUCCACGCUUCUUUGG
rnacentral:misc_RNA from 1 species